UUGGGGUCCUUUAAUGGACCAGAACCUGGUGGUCCGGAGUCGACGAUAAGAAAGUGAAAGAGAGAAAGAGGCCGAUAGCCCCUGGUUUACACAGAAAACCAAUAAAGCUCUUGACACAGAGCUUGCAUCGCUCAGGAAGGCACCAGGCGCCCCCUCGAGGAGGGGAAGGCACAGAGCGCCUUCUCGAGAGGGUCUUAGAAGCGCAGGCAGGAGAGUGAGCCGGAGGGGUCUCCACGCCCCAGAGAAUCAGCCAGAGAGAGAGAGAAACGAAGACGACACGGGGACCUAAGCGCUGAUGGAGCAAAGGUGCUCUGUGAUUUUCCUGUGAGUAUAUAUGGGCUGUGGUACAAGAAGUUCCUUACGACAGUGAUAAAGUUCAGAAAACCAAACGUACAGCAACCGUUACCAAGGGAACAAGGGGUAAUAAUGGUCACAAGGUCAGGAGACAGUCCAUAACUCAAGAAGGGGGAUGGAGACUAAGCAGUUUUGUCGUAAAGAGAAUGUUUACUGAAGGAGACCCAAGCCCGUCUCACACAGUGACCUCAGUUCCGGGGAGCAGCGUGCCGCUCCGCUUGAAAAGAAACAACGGACUUGAGAGAAACAGCACGUAGGAAUCCUCGGGUUAAACACUCCCCGACAAUUCCCCCUUAUUUAUUUAUAAUAUUUGUAAAAAGUGUUCUGACCAUUAAAGUUUGUUUAGUUUUAUCAAUCUUUGCAUGAAGGCAACAGUAGAUGACAAAUAUAAUUGUCAAGACAAUUACCAAAAUUACAGUUCCAGACCCGAUGCUGCAUGAAAUAGCUCUGGCCACCAAUCCAGGCAUCAAGCUAGGAUGAACAAAGGACUGGACAUCUGCUUUGCCCCUGACUGAUAUAAGAGCAACACCACCAAUCAGGCUUCCAGCAGCGGCUCAGCAGGCCCUCUCCUCGUCCCGGAAAGUGUGGCAGACGCAUUUCCGCACCUUCGUGCCCUUAAGCCUCGCACUGCCAACUCCUGCUGCCUUACUUCAGACUGUCGAGUCUCUUCAGAGCAAGAUCAGCCGUGUGUUCGGAGCAGACCUCUUUCCUCCGGUGGGAACUUGGUCCUGAGAGCGGUGGGACGCCGCGGGUGCCCGUCGUCCUUAUACACGGUCCGCCCUGGGUACCACCGCCAGCAUGCGGGACCCUGCGCGUGCGCCGGGCGCUUUCCCAGACGGAGCAUGCGUAGACGACUCCGCCGCUCGGCCGGGUGUUUGGGUACAGUUGGGGUGGUGGCUGGAUAGGCCCCCGCAGGACGGGGCUGGGGGCCGCGGAGGCUCAGCUCCCCACUUCUGGAAGCCAACCACUUGGUCCUUGGUCCUCUCAGCUCCCCAGCACAUUUAAAUAUGACAGCUGCAACCUGCCUGGUAUUGUCUUCUUGGUCCCGCGGUAGAACGUGUCUGCCGGCCUCCUUCGUCCUGACACAUCCCGGACGCCCUCUGAUGGCCACUGAGUUUUAUAUGUUUACCUUGCAUCCUGACUCAUUACUGAUUGUUUUCGAAAUUUGUUAUUUGUAUUCUUUAUUCUCCAGGAUUUCCAGGUAUACUACCAUCUCAUCUACAGAUGGACCUGAUUUUACUUCUUUCCCCAUUCUGAAGCCUCUAAUUAAUAUUUUAUAAUUAUAUCAGUGAAGACUGGCUGAAUUUCAAAUAGUGAUGGGAAUACUUUUCUUAUAAGGUGAUGACUUUAAGAGAUUAUAUUUUUCUUGAAUAUUUUUAAUUGAAGGAUAAUUAGUCUAUUCCAAGAUACUUCAAAGUCUAUAGAUUUAAUCCUAUGACAUUUAUUUUCAUAUCUAUUAAAAGGAUGAAUUGUAUUAACAAAUUCUGUGAUAUUUAACUAUCUGAAUCCUAGUAAUAUAUACUACUUUUUCUUCGUGUGUUUUCUUGAUGUACUGUUGGAUUCUGUUUGUUAAUAUUUCUUUAAGAUUUUUGCAAUGAUAAAAGAUGUUGGUUUGUAAUUGUCUUUCUUUUUACAAUUUUUAUUAGGUUGGUUAUCAAUAUUAUACUGGCUUUACUAAAA